AGUGAAUAGAUACCCUGGUAGUCCACGCCCUAAACGAUGAUCACUGGGUGUUGGGGAAGCGAUUCCUUGGUACCGUAGCUAAACGCGUGAAGUGAUCCGCCUGGGGAGUACGGUCGCAAGAUUAAAACUCAAAGGAAUUGACGGGGACCCGCACAAGCGGUGGAUGAUGUGGAUUAAUUCGAUGCAACGCGAACAACCUUACCUACCCUUGACAUGUCCGGAACCCUGCUGAGAGGUGGGGGUGCCCGAAAGGGAAUCGGAACACAGGUGCUGCAUGGCUGUCGUCAGCUCGUGUCGUGAGAUGUUGGGUUAAGUCCCGCAACGAGCGCAACCCUUGUCCCUAGUUGCUACGCAAGGGCACUCUAGGGAGACUGCCGGUGACAAACCGGAGGAAGGUGGGGAUGACGUCAAGUCCUCAUGGCCCUUAUGGGUAGGGCUUCACACGUCAUACAAUGGGCGGUACAGAGGGUUGCCAACCCGCGAGGGGGUAGCCAAUCCCAGAAAGCCGUUCGUAGUCCGGAUCGCAGUCUGCAACUCGACUGCGUGAA
rnacentral:rRNA from 1 species